rnacentral:rRNA from 1 species
AGAGUUUGAUCAUGGCUCAGAAUCAACGCUGGCGGCGUGCCUCAGACAUGCAAGUCGAACGAUUAAGACUCUCUUCGGAGAGUGUAUAAAGUGGCGCACGGGUGAGUAACACGUAGGUAAUGUACCUUUGAGUGGGGAAUAACUUAGGGAAACUUAAGCUAAUACCGCAUAAUGCAGCGGCUCGACAUCGAGACAGUUGUUAAAGAGGUAAUUCGCUUAAAGAGCAGCCUGCGGCAGAUUAGCUAGUUGGUAAGGUAAUGGCUUACCAAGGCUACGAUCUGUAACCGACCUGAGAGGGUGGUCGGUCACACUGACACUGAAUAACGGGUCAGACUCCUACGGGAGGCAGCAGUCGGGAAUUUUGGGCAAUGGGCGAAAGCCUGACCCAGCAACGCCGCGUGAAGGAUGAAGUAUUUCGGUAUGUAAACUUCGUAAGAAUAGGAAGAAUAAAUGACGGUACUAUUUGUAAGGUCCGGCUAACUACGUGCCAGCAGCCGCGGUAACACGUAGGGACCAAGCGUUGUUCGGAUUUACUGGGCGUAAAGGGCGCGUAGGCGGUUUGUCAAGUCAGUUGUGAAAUCUCCGAGCUUAACUCGGAACGGUCAACUGAUACUGUCAAACUAGAGUACAGAAGGGGCAAUCGGAAUUCUUGGUGUAGCGGUGAAAUGCGUAGAUAUCAAGAGGAACACCUGAGGUGAAGACGGGUUGCUGGGCUGAUACUGACGCUGAGGCGCGAAAGCUAGGGUAGCAAACGGGAUUAGAUACCCUGGUAGUCC